GAUGAACGCUAGCGGCAGGCUUAACACAUGCAAGUCGAGGGGCAGUAUAAAUAGUAGCAAUACUAUUGGUGGCGACCGGCGGACGGGUGCGUAACGCGUAUACAACCUUCGCUAAACAGGGGGAUAAUCUGGAGAAAUUCGGUCUAAUACCCCAUAACAUCAGAGCAGGCAUCUGUUUUGGUUAAAAUUUCCGGAGGUUUAGGAUGGGUAUGCGGAGCAUUAGCUAGUUGGUGAGGUAACGGCUCACCAAGGCGACGAUGCUUAGGGGGACUGAGAGGUUAACCCCCCACACUGGUACUGAGACACGGACCAGACUCCUACGGGAGGCAGCAGUGAGGAAUAUUGGUCAAUGGGCGGAAGCCUGAACCAGCCAUGCCGCGUGCAGGAUGACGGCUCUAUGAGUUGUAAACUGCUUUUGUACGAGGGUAAAGUGGGCUACGUGUAGCCUUUUGAAAGUAUCGUACGAAUAAGGAUCGGCUAACUCCGUGCCAGCCGCCGCAGUAA
rnacentral:rRNA from 1 species